ensembl:misc_RNA 7SK 7SK RNA
AGAUGUGAAGAUUAUUUGGCUGCAAUAUCCAGCCCAAUGACCACCAGGGUUGAUUCAGCUAAUGUGGCUGUCCAGGCAGGUGUCCCCUCCCUUCCUUCCUCACUGCUCCUCACACACACUCUCCUUAAAGCUGUGCACUUGGUCAAAGAGGAAGGCCUCUUCCAUAGAGGAGAACCUUCACUGACAGAGAAGGACUGUUUUGUGGUCAACAGUAUAUGAGUAGCUGUGUUCCUGCUAGAACCUCCAAACAAAUUCUCAAUCUGGGGCAGCUAGCCUCAAAGAUGGUCUUAAAUGAUUCCUGCCUUU